rnacentral:lncRNA from 8 species
AUGUCGCGCAAAUACUCUUCUCGUCACCUGCGGCUCACAGUGUCUGAGCAUUCCCUGGACUCGUCAAGGGUCUCCACUUUCCCGGCCGACUGGACCCGUCAGACCUCCGAAGACGUGUUUGAGGACCAGGGUGACCAGCUCAUUACUGCUCCUGCCCGCCACCCGCGACCCCCCGGCAGAAGGUCGAAAUCAAAGGCCGGCCGAAAGGGUUUCGCACCGGAUGACUACAAGGAUAAGGUGGCCGCUGAAACAGACGAUGGACCCACUCCGCAGAGAGACACUGUGGAUAAAACCAAUAAAUACAAUUUUACAAAGAGAGGCACUGUGGAUGAGGCUAAACAUCCGCUGACAAACUCUAUGGAUGACACAAUGGAUGGCGCAAAGAUGCUCAAGACACCUAUGAACAACAGGACAAGCGACCUGAUUGCAGAACUCAACUACAGUAAAAACCUGAAGAUGAUGGAAAACGCAGAGCUGCAAAAACUCAAAGUGUAUGGCGAGGAGAAUAACCUGUCUCUAAAUCAAGAGAAUAUUGAGUUAAAGAAACAGGUGAAAAAUCUCAGGAGCACCAUAGAUUAUUUGGACACCCUGCGUGACAAUAUCCGGGAGGCGCGUAAAGCCCUGCAUGAGCGUCGCCACGAAAGCGCACAGAUGGAGUCUCGGCGCCUGCAGCUUGAACAGCAGAAUGACUCCAUCAGGGAUAAGAUUGAAAUGAUGAAGGAUGAUCUAUUCAGCCUUAAACCCGAGAGAAAGAAGGGCAAGACUACAAUAAAGCACCUAAACCGUUUUGUUGGACUGUUACAAUAUCAAGACGAAGAGGCCCAAAUCACUAUUCUUCACAAAGAUAAGUUGAUCCAGAGAAAAACCUCCCAAAUCGAGGAGAUGCAAAGCCACGUCGCUGAAUCGGUAUCCUGCGUCCAGGUGUUUCAGGAGAGGUUGAAAGACUUGGCGGAGCGAAUUGCCGAAGCCAAGAACGCUGGAAAAAAAGAUGAAGACUGCUACGGCGCGGAUAAAGACGGCGACAGUACCGUUACGCACAGGACAAGGCCUCCCACCCUCGCAGAGGAAAUUGUGCAGGCAAUGCAGUAUGCCGCGCAAAUCGUUAAGAAGAAGGAGGAGGUGGCAUCUCCACCUGCUCCGACCGAGAGUUGGUUCAGGACAAGUAUAUUCGGGGGUCUGCAGAAGGCGGCCUACCACGCAGGGAUGCUCGCCUUGACCGUGAUGGUUCCACUCUGCGCAAUGGCCUCCAUGGUUACCGCAUGCCAGGAUGGACCCGGCAUACCCUGUGUUGACCUGCUGCAGGACGCAGCCAGUGGCUUUCUGAAACCAUAUUGUAAUAUGGAUUUCACUGCCCUCCCUCCAUUCUGA